AUGCCCUUGAUCGUUGGGAAUGGAUCGAUUGCCCUAUUUUGGGAGGAUCAUUGGCUUAAUGGGCUGUCAAUUUGCAAGCUUAUGCCCAUGCUCUACAGUUGUAUCCCCAAGCGCCGACGCAAGGCCAGAACGGUGGUGGAAGGGCUCAAUGGAAACACUUGGGCACGCCACAUACACGGCGUCCUUGGCAUCCAUGAGAUCAUCCAAUGCCUGUAG
rnacentral:rRNA from 1 species